AAAAAAAAAAUAACAGCUUUCUCAGAGAUUUAUCAGUCAAUGCCGAUGGCGGUUGUGCUACCGACGAACUAAGAGCAGAAGUUGUCCGGAUUAUGACCUAAGCAUCAACAAUUACUUCUUCCAAUUAUCAAAAGCUCCUUCGCCUACAGUGCCCAACUCUUGCAAAUCCUUAAACAUAUCUUCAUUAAAGGUCCUAUUAGGAAUCAGAAUAUCAUCCUCGUCUUCAUAAUAGUCACCAUCACCAUUACUGUCGCUUUCCAUUGCCUGGCUCUCCAAGUCAGCUCCAUCCAUAUUUGCAGCCUGUGUAAUUUUG
rnacentral:misc_RNA from 1 species